rnacentral:rRNA from 1 species
UACGGAGGGGGCUAGCGUUGUUCGGAAUUACUGGGCGUAAAGCGCGCGUAGGCGGCUUUGUAAGUUAGAGGUGAAAGCCCGGAGCUCAACUCCGGAAUUGCCUUUAAGACUGCAUCGCUCGAAUCAUGGAGAGGUGAGUGGAAUUCCGAGUGUAGAGGUGAAAUUCGUAGAUAUUCGGAAGAACACCAGUGGCGAAGGCGACUCACUGGACAUGUAUUGACGCUGAGGUGCGAAAGCGUGGGGAGCAAACAGG